GUUAUUACAGGGCCCGGAAUAUGGAGGUCCAGAUCCUGUUGUUGGGAAUACUGCAGACCUGGCCAUGGGUCCUCGAAGGUGGCUUCCAAGAGG